rnacentral:misc_RNA from 1 species
CCGAGUUUACAACUCCCAAACCCCUGUGAACAUACCGCUUGUUGCCUCGGCGGAUCAGCCCGCUCCCGGUAAAACGGGACGGCCCGCCAGAGGACCCCUAAACUCUGUUUCUAUAUGUAACUUCUGAGUAAAACCAUAAAUAAAUCA